rnacentral:rRNA from 1 species
UACGGAGGGAGCUAGCGUUGUUCGGAAUUACUGGGCGUAAAGCGUGCGUAGGCGGUUAUUCAAGUCAGAGGUGAAAGCCCGGGGCUCAACCCCGGAACUGCCUUUGAAACUAGAUAGCUAGAAUCUUGGAGAGGUCAGUGGAAUUCCGAGUGUAGAGGUGAAAUUCGUAGAUAUUCGGAAGAACACCAGUGGCGAAGGCGACUGACUGGACAAGUAUUGACGCUGAGGCAGGAAAGCGAAUGGGGAGGCAAACAGGG